rnacentral:rRNA from 1 species
GACGAACGCUGGCGGCGUGCUUAACACAUGCAAGUCGAACGGAAAGGCCCUGCCUUUGUGGGGUGCUCGAGUGGCGAACGGGUGCGUAACACGUGUGUAACCUGCCCUUGACUUUGGGAUAACUUCAGGAAACUGGGGCUAAUACCGGAUAGGAGCUCCUGCUGCAUGGUGGGGGUUGGAAAGUUUCGGCGGUUGGGGAUGGACUCGCGGCUUAUCAGCUUGUUGGUGGGGUAGUGGCUUACCAAGGCUUUGACGGGUAGCCGGCCUGAGAGGGUGACCGGCCACAGAGGGACUGGGAUACGGCCCAGACGGAUACGGGAGGCAGGAGUGGAGAAUAGAGCACGAUGGGCCGAAGGCUUAAGGAAGAACGCCGCGUGGGGAAUGACGGCCUUCGGGUUGUAAACCGCUUUCGCCUGUGACGAAGCGUGAGUGACGGUAAUAAGGAAAAAGGCACCGGCAAACUACGG